AUCACUUCUCGGCCUGCUGGCUAAGAUCAAGUGUAGUGUCUGUUCUUAUCAGCUUUAAUAUCUGAUAUGUCCUUCACUUAAGGACCAUACAUAAUCAGAUUUUUGGAGCAGGGAGUUGGAAUAGGGGCUUGCUCCAUCCACUUUUUUUUGGGCGGCAUUGUGGCUCAGUGGUUAGCACUGCCGCCUCACCGCGC